GACAGAGGAUGCAAGCGUUAUCCGGAAUGAUUGGGCGUAAAGCGUCUGUAGGUGGCUUUUUAAGUCUGCCGUCAAAUCCCAGGGCUUAACCCUGGACAGGCGGUGGAAACUACCAAGCUGGAGUACGGUAGGGGCAGGGGGAAUUUCCGGUGGAGCGGUGAAAUGCGUAGAGAUCGGAAAGAACACCAACGGCGAAGGCGGCAUCCUGGACCAUAACUGACGCUGAGGCGCGAAAGCUAGGGGAGCAAACGGG
rnacentral:rRNA from 1 species